rnacentral:lncRNA from 1 species
UUUAACCAUCACGACUUAAUUCAGUAGUUAGCACUAGUUUUCUGCCUGCUACAGGUUUAAGGGAUUUUCCUGUUUCUCCUCUAUACCGGCAAGACCUCAUCACUCCUCCACCAGGAAAAGAAGUAAUGGAAGGGCUCCUGGAAGACAGAAGUGCUGAACUCCAGCAUGACCUCAAGCACUGCUAUUGCAAUAAUAGGGAUUUCCCUUUUAUGAUCCUUUUCCUCACUUCAAAAUGAAUCACACAUCUUACAGAAUUAUCUGAUAGUAAAAGACCUGGCUGGUGAUUGAACUAUUAAAGCCUGAAUGACACUAUCCAUUCAUAUUAUCAUAGUCAUCAUUCUGUCAUGGAAUAUGAUGGAACUACCGUUAUGACGAUCUUUCCUAAUGUAAUUUCUAAAACAUUUGGUGAUGGUGUUCUGAACACAAUGAAGUCUUGGUAUAAUUCAGUAAGUAUGAGUCCCUCCCUCUUGAACAAUAAAAAGUAAAACAAUAAAAUAAUAUAAAUAAACAGAGCUGAAUGAAGCCUCUUGAGAGAUUAAUUCCUCUUCUAAGGCACAAUACUAACAGUUGAUUGAUGUGCAAACGAAUUACUUUAAUAUUCUCCUACGAUGGAUAUUCUGCAGCUUCUCUGGAUAGCCUGCUCGGAAGUUAUACUAACUUUGCCACAUGUAAGCAUUUUUUUCCCCUUAUACCUUACCAUAAUAUGGGCAGCUGCAACUUAAGCUCACUGUUUCUUACCUGUGUUCGAUGGCAAGGAGAAGUUCCCCACUCCCUAUGAUAGACAGGUCUAUGCAUAUAGAUGCAUAAAAAUACGUAUUUAAUAAACGUAUGUGUGUAGAUGAACACACUUAAAGAAUAAAAAUGUCCUUCUCACAUACAUAUAUUGUUUAUAUUAUGAUAUAAUGUUUAUAUUCAGUGAAAUGGUGGGAUGAACUACGGAGUAUAAUUACAGCUCACAGGAGUAAAUCUGGAAAGAGGAAUGUAUAUUCAUGUAUUAUUCAAUAAUUAUCGAUGAAGUCAAUGUUUUUAUGUGUAUUGCUAUAUUGCCUAGGAGAUCUGGUUGAUAGGAUUGAGCUUCAUUUUGUGCUGUGCAAACUCAACAAAUGAAUUCCUGCCAUCCUGCUCAGACCUGUAUGAUAAACAUCAGCCUUAGUCACGUGCAAUCAGUAUUUAGUUUAUCAAGGUGUAGAUAGUAAUUGAAUAUUCAUACAUGCUCAGAGCUUGGGGUAACAAAAAUAAGCUGUUGUCUUUUCAGUUUUUCCUUAGAUUGGGUAUUUUCUUCAUAGGCUCACAGCUAUUACCUGCAGAACUUUUUACUCACACUCAUUUUCCUUUUAUUAUGCUUGUUGUAACAACAACCCCUCUCAAAG